GGGUAAUAUUAGACAAUGUUCGCAAGCUCUACCCAGUCAUGCGGCGGGGGUGAGUAAGGGCUUCGGGUUUUAAAGCCGUUUUGCUGCGUAAGAAAAGCAGCAGCAGAAAACCCGGUUGUUCUGACGUUACCCAAAGAAUAAGCACCGGCUCACUCCGUGCCAGCAGCCGCGGUAAUACGAAGGGUGCAAGCGUUACUCGGAAUUACUGGGCGUAAAGCGUGCGUAGGUGGUGGUUUAAGUCCGUUGUGAAAGCCCUGGGCUCAACCUGGGAACUGCAGUGGAUACUGGAUCACUAGAGUGUGGCAGAGGGUAGUGGAAUUCCCGGUGUAGCAGUGAAAUGCGUAGAGAUCGGGAGGAACAGCAGUGGCGAAGGCGACUGCCUGUGCCAACACUGACACUGAGGCACGAAAGCGUGGGGAGCAAACA
rnacentral:rRNA from 1 species